GAGACGGAAGACUAGGUGUAGGGCCUGGCUCUGGAGUUGGUUUUGGUCCAGGUAGUGCUGGUAUUGGCCCAGGUGGUGCUGGCACUGGUCCAGGUGGUCUCGGGUACAGUGCUGGUGGUGCUGGCACUGGUCCGGGUGGUCCCGGCUACGGUGCUGGCACUGGUCCAGGUGGUCUCGGCUACGGUCCUGGUGGUGCUGGCACUGGCCCAGGUGGUGCUGGCACUGGCCCAGGUGGUGCUGGCACUGGUCCAGGUGGACUCGGCUAUGGUCCUAGUGGUGCUGGUAUUGGUCCAGGUGGUCUCGGCUAUGGUCCAGGUGGUGCUGGUACUGGGCCAGGAGGUAAUUAUAAAUCCACAUGUUUACAGAAAUUUAGCUUGUAAUUAUGCAACAUAAAAAAAUUAAGAAAAUAAUAAUCAGAGGCUGAAUUUUGUGAAGUAAUGCAAUAGACGCGACAUGUGUAUUUCAGGGUAUGAUGCCAGUGCCAAAGCUCGUAAAUAUGGUAAGACUUAUUUUAUAACUGAACAACUGAAGGUAACUGAAGGUUAUGUUUAAAAAUAUGACAUGCUGCUCCACUCAUACUGCAGGCAUGUUAAGUGGGGCACUGGGAGGUCCAGGCACAGGUCCUGGAGGGGUCAGGCCCGGCGGUUUCGGCACUGGUUUAGGAUAUGGACCAGGUGGAGUUGGACCUGGUGGUGCAGGUACUGGCUUAGGACCAGGUGGAGUUGGACCUGGUGGUGCUGGUACUGGCUAUGGACCAGGGGGAGUUGGACCAGCUGGAACUGGACCUGGUGGUGCUGGAACUGGCUUAGGACCAGGAGGAACUGGACCUGGUGGAGCUGGACCUGGAGGUGCUGGCACAGGAGGUUUUAGACCAGGUGUCACUGGUGGUUUUGGGCCAGGUGGUCCAGGGACAGGAUUUGUACCAGGGGCCCAAGGAUUAGGAAAAAGAAAACCUUACAAAUUUGGUACGUAAGGAUCAUGAGUUAGGUGAUACAUGAAAGAGGUGAGACACCAAAACAUUGUUUAACUAAAAACUUUCAUCUUCUUUUUCCAGGUGCCAGUACAGGUGAGCAUGUCAAGAUGACAACUGCUUUUUAAAAAAUGUGCGUGGCAUAGGACUGUACUCUACAUGUCAUAUUUCUCAGCAGGAGUUCUAGGGGGAGGUGUAGGAACUGGUCCAGGAGGA
rnacentral:lncRNA from 1 species